rnacentral:rRNA from 1 species
AGGACGAACGCUAGCGGCGUGUUUGAAACAUGCAAGUCGAACGGGAAGAGCAAUCUUUUAGUGGCGAACGGGUGCGUAACACGUAAAGAACCUAUCCAACAGCGGGGGAUAGCCUCUGGAAACGGGGGGUAAUACCGCAUACGCUACAAGGCAGGCAUCUGCAAUGUAGGAAAGGGGUACGAAAGUAUCUCACUGAUGGAGGGCUUUGCGGCCUAUCAGGUAGUUGGUGGGGUAACGGCCUACCAAGCCAAAGACGGGUAGCUGGUCUGAGAGGACGAUCAGCCACACUGGGACUGAGAUACGGCCCAGACUCCUACGGGGGGCAGCAGUUUAGAAUAUUGUGCAAUGGGCGAAAGCCUGACACAGCGACGCCGCGUGGGUGAUGAAGGCCUUCGGGUCGUAAAGCCCUGUUGGUAGGGAAGAGAACGGACGGUACCGUACCGAGGAAGCCCCGGCUAACUACGUGCCAGCAGCCGC